rnacentral:rRNA from 1 species
GAUCAUGGCUCAGGAUGAACGCUGGCGGCGCGCCUAACACAUGUAAGUCGAACGAGUAAGACGCCUUCGGGCGUGGAUAGAGUGGCGAACGGGUGAGUAACACGUGACCAACCUGCCCCCUCCUCCGGGACAACCUCGGGAAACCGAGGCUAAUACCGGAUACUCCGGGCACCCCGCAUGGGAUGCCCGGGAAAUCCCUGGCGGGAGGGGAUGGGGUCGCGGCCCAUCAGGUAGACGGCGGGGUAACGGCCCACCGUGCCUGCAACGGGUAG